AGAGUUUGAUCCUGGCUCAGGAUGAACGCUGGCGGCGUGUCUAAGGCAUGCAAGUCGAACGGUACGGUGGCCGCAAGGUCACCGUGCAGUGGCAAACGGGUGAGUAACACAUUGGUAAUCUGCCCUUGGGAUGAGUAUAACCCCGCGAAAGCGGGACUAAUUCUCAAUGGUCAUGAGGGGACGCAAGUCAUUCUCAUGUAAAAGUCGCAAGACGCCCAAGGAUGAGCCUAUGGCCUAUCAGCUAGUUGGCGGGGUAAAAGCCCACCAAGGCGAUGACGGGUAGCGGGUCUGAGAGGACGGCCCGCCUCAGUGGGACUGAGACACUGCCCACACUCCUACGGGAGGCUGCAGUCAAGAAUCUUCCCCAAUGGACGAAAGUCUGAGGGAGCGACGCCGCGUGCCAGAUGAAGCCCUUCGGGGUGUAAAUGGCUUUUCUCGCCGAUGAAAUCCGACCGUAGGCGAGGAAUAAGAGGUUGCUAACUCUGUGCCAGCAGCAGCGGUAAUACAGAGACCUCAAGCGUUAUCCGGAUUUACUGGGCGUAAAGAGUCCGUAGGUGGCUUUAUACAUCUUUUGUUAAAUGUUUCGACUCAAUCGAAACGCCGCGGAAGAUAUGGUAAGGCUCGAGGGUGGGAGAGGCACACGGAACUGCCGGUGGAGUAGUAAAAUGCGUUGAUAUCGGCAGGAACACCAAAGGCGAAGGCAGUGUGCUAGAACAUUCCUGACACUCAAGGACGAAAGCGUGGGGAGCAAAACGGAUUAGAUACCCUGGUAGUCC
rnacentral:rRNA from 1 species